GAUGAACGCUGGCGGCGUGCCUAAUACAUGCAAGUCGAGCGAACGGACGAGGAGCUUGCUUCUCUGAUGUUAGCGGCGGACGGGUGAGUAACACGUGGAUAACCUACCUAUAAGACUGGGAUAACUUCGGGAAACCGGAGCUAAUACCGGAUGAUAUUUUGAAACGCAUGGUUCAAAAGUGAAAGACGGUCUUGCUGUCACUUAUAGAUGGAUCCGCGCCGCAUUAGCUAGUUGGUAAGGUAACGGCUUACCAAGGCAACGAUGCGUAGCCGACCUGAGAGGGUGAUCGGCCACACUGGAACUGAGACACGGUCCAGACUCCUACGGGAGGCAGCAGUAGGGAAUCUUCCGCAAUGGGCGAAAGCCUGACGGAGCAACGCCGCGUGAGUGAAGAAGGUCUUCGGAUCGUAAAACUCUGUUAUUAGGGAAGAACAUAUGUGUAAGUAACUGUGCACGUCUUGACGGUACCUAAUCAGAAAGCCACGGCUAACUACGUG
rnacentral:rRNA from 1 species